rnacentral:rRNA from 1 species
GAUCAUGGCUCAGGACGAACGCUGGCGGCGUGCCUAACACAUGCAAGUCGAACGGAGAUAUGUUUUGGAAGGGCUUCGGUCUGGAAGAGAUAUAUUUUAGUGGCGGACGGGUGAGUAACGCGUGGGCAAUCUGCCUUGUAGAAAGGGAUAACAGGCCGAAAGGCUUGCUAAUACCGGAUGAGCUUGUCUAAUCGCAUGAUAAGACAAGGAAAGGGGAAACCCGGCUACAAGAUGAGCCUGCGU